rnacentral:lncRNA from 1 species
UCCCUCUCUCUCAAGAUCAUCUUCUUGCUAGUUGGUGUUUGUAAGCCAUUAGAGGAGUGACAAUUGUGACUCUAAGCUCCAAGAAGAAGAAGUAUCAAGCAAGUAAUCCAAGGUAUUGUUCUAGAUCCAAUUUCAUAUGAUUAGAUUCAAUUGUUUACAUUAGAUCUAGUAUUGUAAGUCUUGGAUUCAAUGCAUGUUUAAUUAGAUAAACCUAGAUCCAAGCAAUUAGGGUUUGCAUGUGCACAUAGGAAAGUUCUUAUGGCUCAAACCCAUCAGUUGUAUCAGAGCUUUCUNUUGCAUGUGCACAUAGGAAAGUUCUUAUGGCUCAAACCCAUCAGUGUCCAUAUGAGUUGAAGAAUCAGCCGCUUGAACGGUAACCGGAGGCUUAACUUCUCGAUCGUCAGCUUUCUCCCUUAUCUCUGGUGUUGAANUUCUUUGAUUUCUAUUGAAUUGAUGCAUUGGUUGAUUGCUUGUUGCUUGAAAAAUUCGAUUUUUGUGAUUCUGGCUGAUGAACUCGG